AUCCCAGAUAAAGCUCUUUGUAUUUAUCUGAUUCAUGGGAGGCAAAUAUUAACCAUGGAAGUUUCGCUGAUAGCAUUCCUUUAAACCAUUCAGGAUAUGUUUACUUUUAGCUUUCCAAAAAUGU
rfam:Lupinus angustifolius cultivar Tanjil contig_17188, whole genome shotgun sequence.